rnacentral:rRNA from 1 species
CACGUAGGGCGCAAGCGUUGUCCGGAAUUAUUGGGCGUAAAGAGCUCGUAGGCGGCUCGGCACGUCCGUUGUGAAAUCGCCCGGCUCAACUGGGCGGGGUCAGCGGAUACGGUCGAGCUUGAGCAAGCUAGGGGGCAAUGGAAUUCCCGGUGUAGUGGUGGAAUGCGUAGAUAUCGGGAGGAACACCAGUGGCGAAGGCGGUUGCCUGGGGCUUUGCUGACGCUGAUGCGCGAAAGCGUGGGGAGCGAGUCCGG